rnacentral:rRNA from 1 species
AUGGCCGUAGCCGGCCGAGCUCGAAGCUCCUGCCGAUGCACCUCGUCACGUCUCUGCUGCCUCCUCGCAGCCGGCCAUCCUCGCCGCCGCCCGGGGUUCCCCUGCACCUCAAGCCUGACGCCCGACCUGCGACCUCCGCCACCUCGAUGUCCCUUGGCGCCCUGCCGGCCAAUCUGGCCCCGUCGUCCAGGAUCCUCCAUGGUGCUACCUUGCUGCUUCCUCCAGCGCCCAAGUCCACCUUGCCGCUUCCGCCGUCCUCACGCCCCUACUUCUUCCAUGGCGAUGUUGCCAUCCAUGGCAGCUCUGCCGCUGUCGCCUUACCGCCGCCAUCCAGCGCAACACCUGCAGGAGAUGGCCAGAGCCUCGAUCCCCUGCUCCUCUGCUUCGGGUCCUAGUGUCCUGCGGCCAUCGCCCCUGCAUCAUGCCAAGUACAUGCACCGUUCCCUGAACCGCCAAGGAAGACCACCGAACAGGGAUUCGCCAAGUACCAGGUCAACGGAGACCGCCAAGUUCGUUUCCGCCGCCUUCGAAAUCGACAAGUACCACGACAACCUCGAAGGGAUUCAACUCCGUCAAGUUCCUCUAAUGAUGGCCCGAACGGCUACGAAACACGUACCACUACUGUCACUGAAGACCCGUGCAACGGAACCGUCAAGUUUGACUACCUUCGUGUGUACCUUUACUUCCCACGAUAACCAUGUACAACUCCCAUCCCAUGCAUCUCGCGAAGUACCUCUUCGAAACGACCGAGUACCACUACAGUCGACCCUCGAAGAACCCGCGGACGACAAGUUCCUCGGUGUGACCCCGAACACCUACGGAGUGUGUACAACUACGAAACGAGAACAACUACUUCCUCUACUUUGCACCGAACGGGAAUCGUCUCGUUUGCACGCUUCGAAGUUUGCAGGUGCCGUUGAGACGUGCAGGUGA